rnacentral:sRNA from 1 species
GCUGGGCAUGGUGGCGCAUGCCUGUAAUCUCAGCAGCUUGGGAGGCCAAGGCGGGAAGAUGACAAGUUCAAAGCCAGCUUCAGAAACCUUGAAGUGCUGAGCAACACAGGGAGACCCUGUCUCU